UACAGAGGUCCCAAGCGUUGUUCGGAUUCACUGGGCGUAAAGGGUGCGUAGGCGGUCGGGUAAGUCUGAUGUGAAAUCUCACAGCUUAACUGUGAAACUGCAUUGGAUACUAUUCGGCUUGAGGUCUGGAGGGGGGACUGGAAUUCUCGGUGUAGCAGUGAAAUGCGUAGAUAUCGAGAGGAACACCAGUGGCGAAGGCGGGUCCCUGGACAACACCUGACACUGAGGCACGAAAGCUAGGGGAGCAAACAGG
rnacentral:rRNA from 1 species